rnacentral:rRNA from 1 species
AUUGAACGCUGGCGGCAGGCCUAACACAUGCAAGUCGAACGGUAACAGGAAGCAGCUUGCUGCUUCGCUGACGAGUGGCGGACGGGUGAGUAAUGUCUGGGAAACUGCCUGAUGGAGGGGGAUAACUACUGGAAACGGUAGCUAAUACCGCAUAACGUCGCAAGACCAAAGAGGGGGACCUUAGGGCCUCUUGCCAUCGGAUGUGCCCAGUUGGGAUUAGCUAGUAGGUGGGGUAACGGCUCACCUAGGCGACGAUCCCUAGCUGGUCUGAGAGGAUGACCAGCCACACUGGAACUGAGACACGGUCCAGACUCCUACGGGAGGCAGCAGUGGGGAAUAUUGCACAAUGGGCGCAAGCCUGAUGCAGCCAUGCCGCGUGUAUGAAGAAGGCCUUCGGGUUGUAAAGUACUUUCAGCGGGGAGGAAGGGAGUAAAGUUAAUACCUUUGCUCAUUGACGUUACCCGCAGAAGAAGCACCGGCUAACUCCGUG